AUGCAGUCGAGCGGUAGAGAGAAGCUUGCUUCUCUUGAGAGCGGCGGACGGGUGAGUAAUGCCUAGGAAUCUGCCUGGUAGUGGGGGAUAACGUUCGGAAACGGACGCUAAUACCGCAUACGUCCUACGGGAGAAAGCAGGGGACCUUCGGGCCUUGCGCUAUCAGAUGAGCCUAGGUCGGAUUAGCUAGUUGGUGAGGUAAUGGCUCACCAAGGCGACGAUCCGUAACUGGUCUGAGAGGAUGAUCAGUCACACUGGAACUGAGACACGGUCCAGACUCCUACGGGAGGCAGCAGUGGGGAAUAUUGGACAAUGGGCGAAAGCCUGAUCCAGCCAUGCCGCGUGUGUGAAGAAGGUCUUCGGAUUGUAAAGCACUUUAAGUUGGGAGGAAGGGCAGUUACCUAAUACGUGAUUGUUUUGACGUUACCGACAGAAUAAGCACCGGCUAACUCUGUGCCAGCAGCCGCGGUAAUACAGAGGGUGCAAGC
rnacentral:rRNA from 1 species